AUGCAGGCGGAGCGAGGAGCUCGGGGCGGCCGGGGACGCCGACCCGGCCGCGGCCGGCCGGGCGGCGAUCGCGACCGCGAGCGGGCGGGCGCCGGGACCGCCGUAGCGAGAGGUGGCGGUGGAGAUGGAGGCGGCCGCCGAGGCCGCGGCCGCGGGUUCCGGGGCGGCCGCGGUGGCCGAGGAGGAGGCGCCCCGCGAGGCGGCCGUCGGGAGCCGGGAGGCCGCGGCGCCAGGAUCAGCGAACCGAUCGAAGAUGACAGUGAUGCAGAGACCUACGGAGAAGAGAAUGAAGAACAGGGAAAUUAUUCUAAAAGGAAGAUAGUCUCUAACUGGGAUCGCUAUCAAGAUACUGAAAAAGAAGUUGAUAAUGAAAGUGGAGAAUCACAGAGGGGGACAGAUUUCAGUGUUCUUCUCAGCUCUGCAGGGGACUCCUUCUCACAGUUUCGGUUUGCCGAGGAGAAAGAGUGGGAUGGUGAAGUGUCAUGCCCCAAACAGAAUUCAGCAUUUUAUGUGGACUGUGAGUCAUUGGUUCGAGCCCUUCAAGAAUUGCCUCUCUCACUCCGACUCAAUGUUGCUGCUGAAUUGGUUCAGACUGCCCUGCCUUUAGAGCUCCCGCAGGUGAAACCAAAGAGAAAUAAUGAUGGCAAGGGACUAGGGAUGCAGCUAAAGGGGCCCUUGGGGCCUGGAGGAAAGGGGUCCCUCUCGGAGAUGAAAUCCACCACCGCCGGCUUCCCCAUGUACCCGGGUAAAGAUGGCCCAGGAUCGGGGCCUUCCAAGGGUUCUCAGAACCCCACUUCCCUGCUGCAGUUGGCCGCAGAUCAUUUGGAAGAAGAGCUAGAUCUGCUGCUUAAUUUGGAUGCGCCUGUGAAAGAGGGAGGGGACGUCUUAUCAGACCAGACAGCUCAGGACCUGGGAUCCGAGAAGAGUGGGCAGGUGGCCCAAGAAGCAGCAGAACCUGCAAACCCAUCUGUGUUGGAAGAAAAGAACAUGACCUCGGGGCAACCAAGUAUAUCCAGAAAUGUUACCGAGGAAGAGCUUGAAGACUGGUUGGACAGCAUGAUUUCCUAAUGACAAGGAAAGAAAGGGAAAAAGAGAGAGGGAAAAGAAAAUGAAAACUGCCUGAAGCCAAUUUCGGUUGCCUUGUAAAGGGUGUGCAGGCCCAAGGCUGUCCUAGAACAGCUGGUUUACAAGCAUGGCCCCAAGCCCAUGUGGCCAUCACGCUUAGCACAGUAGAUGCCUUCCUCCAUGUUCAGCAACAUCUGAAGUAGACAUUUAAGAGGCUCGCUACAUUUGUUCUCUGGCUUUAGUAACUGAAUAGAUGUCGUAAGGGCAAGAGAUGUUUCGGCCCUUGUUUCCAGUUUCUUCCUCUCUGUGUUUACAGCAUAGCAGGUGCUGCUGAUGAAGAGGAGAGAGAUAAGUAACCAGGCAUGCAUUUGGCCAAAAUAAAGAAACACUGGUCUGU
rnacentral:lncRNA from 1 species